AAGUUAGGGAUUAAAAGGGUGCUUUUGACUUGCUAUUUUCGGAUAUUUCUAGAGGAAAGAGAAUUUUCCUAUUUUAGUUAGACAACUUCAUCUUCUUCAUUGUGUUUUCUCUUUCAUUAAACUUCACCCCCAAAAACUCAUAAACCACCAUUUUUACUCAAGUUUAAGCUUAAAAUCAAGAUGUGACGGAAAGUCAACUAUUGACGGAUCAAAUUGAAGGAGCACCGGUUGGAAUAGACCGAGUGGCUAAUAGUGGAUCAUCGUGGCGUAUUUAAUUAUUUAUGGAGCGACAGUCUGAAUAUUGCCUGUGUCUGGACGAGACUUCAUCUUUUUGAUUCUUGAAGUCUUCGUUUUGCGUAUAUGGUAUUUGGUCUUAUCUUGAUCUAUAGAGCUGCAGUAGAAUAGAUAGACAGACGCCUUAGCAUGUCAGUAUUUGCGAUGUUUGCCACGCAUGAACUCUGUUUUGUUUUCAUCGCACGAUUAUAAUAUAUUUUAACGACAUGCAUUAAGGUAUUGGAAAAUAGUUGCAACCCGGGUACACGGUAGUACCGGGAGUUUUGAGAUACAGUGUAAAGGAAACUGUACGCAACUAUGUUAUGUGUAUAAUAUGGGGCCCAGCGUGGCUAUAUGCAUGAUUGCAUGUUAUCGGUUUUGUAAAAGACGGUAUUCGAGGAAUACGCGUUAAAACGAUAACCAGUAAUUGAAAAGUAACGGAUUUAAUUUAAUGAAUGUGUUUGCAUAAUAAAAUGCAUUUAAAUCCAUAAUAAAAUGGUCUGCAUAGUGAAAUGCAGUUAUCACCAUAAUGAGAUGGUGUGUGCAUAAUGAGAUGCAUUAUUAACCCCAGUGUAGUGGGUAUGAAACUUGAAUACAUUAAUUAAAUAGGAAAUUAAUUGUAAAGUUUCAUCAUGAUUUUAUCGGAACGUUUUUAAACGGAGAUUUUAAAAUGUUCGAAAAUGUGUUUUGAAUUCCGCGAAAAAUUUGAAGUGAUUUUUAAAGUGUUUUUAAGGCUUGCUACGGGUUUCGGAGCAACCACUCCCAUUCCCUAGCGCCGGUCUCGACGCCGAGAAUCGGGUCGUGACAAUUUUAAGAUGUACCAUUAAAGUUGUAUUUAAUAUGUAUUAUUUGUAUUUAAGAUGUGCCAUUAGAGUUGUAUUUAAUAUGAAAAGAUUCUGAAAUAAAUUGUGUUCGUUUGAAUAGUUUUGAGACGCAUAAAUAAUACUCCAUAUUAAAAAUAUAGUUUUGAGACACAUAAAUAGUACAUAUAAAUAAUAUAGUUUUGAAACACAUAAAUAAUAACAUGUGUUUCAUGUUCAGGCUUCGAAUGAUGAACAAUUUUGAAUUUCCGCUGCUAGAAACUUUAAGAUAUCAAUUACAUGUAUCAUUAAUACAUUUUAAUAGAAGUUGCUUUUGCACGAUUUUACAGUCUUGUGUUGAUGGUGAUGAUUGAUUGCGUGAAAUCUCAUGCAUGUUUGAAGAACUGCUUUGUUUUUGAAAAAUUGACCAACUUUUAAUUCUAUCUCUUGCACUGGUUCAACCAUUGUUUAUGCACUUUUCUAUUCUAUUACCAUUUAUUUAUCCUUCAUCCUACUUGUUUCGACACUGCCCUUUGCAAGAAGAGUAACAUAUUUUCUUAUUUAUGAGAAGGUACCACCACUGUAUGGAAGAUGUAUCAUAGAUGUAUCAGCAUAUAUCUCUGUAGUUUGAUGAUUGUUUGUGUAAUUUGAAUAUGAAAUACUUGUAGAUAUACUUCUUGAACUCUGUUGAUUUGCAUGUAUCAGUAGUGUAUCACUACUAAUAUCUAUGCUAAGAGGGUACAUGGCAAAGUCUGUCUGCAUUUUCUUGAUUUCCAUGUAAAAUUUGAAGUUCGAAUCAUCAAUACGUAAUCUUUAAUGGUGGAUAUUGAAUCUCAACUUGAUACUUGAUCUGAAUUUUCUAGAUUCAAAUAUGAUGUAUUUUGUGGUAUCAUGAUUCCAUUACCUUCAAAAUCUACAUAUUUAUUUGCUUCAAUCCAUUGUCCAUUGUGUUGAAGCAUAACAAGUAGAGAUUCCAUCUAUAUACAAAUGAGAUACAGAUCUGUUAGUGUGAUGUAUCUAUCAAUUUAUGAAUAAUUAAAAUAAUUGUAAGAACUUACUGGUUUCGAGAUCUGUGAUUUCUUUGUUCAUAAACAAUGGUGGUUCAUAUUUGAAGAAGAUGGUGAAUUUAAAUGUAUAGAUUUUGCAUAUAUUGAGAUUUGGUAAUUUUUUCAAUUUGAAAAAAAAAAAUGCUUGUUGCAGAUUUGAGAGAAUCAAAUUUAUUUUGUUUUAGAUUUGAAAAGAUUUGAUUGUUAUAAAUUUGUAUAUGUGGCGUGUAUCAAUUGGUUGACCAAAUUAUUCUCUCCAUGUUAUGAGCUGUAGCUUCCUUCUCUCCGUGCGACGUGGCAAGCAUAGGAGCACUUCGUACUUCUUGUAAUUUCUCAUGCUUUAUACGUGCUGAUGUAAUAAUCAAGUUGAGUUAGCAUUUAUGUUAUAUUGUACCGUUUUCUA